rnacentral:rRNA from 1 species
AUUGAACGCUGGCGGCAGGCCUAACACAUGCAAGUCGAGCGGAUGAAGCGAGCUUGCUCCUGGAUUCAGCGUCGGACGGGUGAGUAAUGCCUAUGAAUCUGCCUGGUAGUGGUUUAUAACGUCCGGAAACGGGCGCUACUACUGCCUACUUCCUGCGGGUGCUAGUUGGUGGUGUUCGGACCUCUCGCUAUGAGAUGAGCCUAGGUCGGAUUAGCUAGUUGGUGGGGUAAAGGCCUCCCAAGGCGACGAUCCGUAACUGGUCUGAGAGGAUGAUUAGUCACACUGGAGGUGAGCCACGGUCAAGGGUACUACGGGAGGGAGCAGUGGGGAAUAUUGGACAGUGGGCGAGAGCAUGAUCCAGCCAUGGCGAGUGUGUGAAGAAGGUCUUGGGAUUGGAAAGAACUUUAAGUUGGGAGGAAGGGCAGUAAGUUAAUACCAUGCUGUUUUGACGUUAACAACAGAAUAAGCACCGGCUAACUUCGUG